UCGAUGUCCUUGGGUGCGAGCCAGAGUUUAAAGAUUCGGGCCGGAGCGUGUGUUUGUGUCAGCGGCCAACAUAAUGCUAGGCGUCGUCUUGUGAAGGUUUCGGAAUUCCGAAAGCGUUAGUCAACUCUUCCUCAAACAGAGGAGUGAUUUGGAACGGAGUGAGCUUUCCUUUUGAAAUCUGCCUUAGUAAGAACCAGAACAAGGAAAUAAAUGUAGGAGCUGGUUUGCAGAGAAAAAUGGUUUCUUCCUGUUCAAUUGUAAGAGGAAAUUAUCCUUCACACUCUUUAGGAUUUUGUUGGGGUUUAUAAUCUGUAGAAAAAAGUAUACUGAAGGAGAAUGAGAAGAACAGAGGAUAAUAAUAAUAAAGACGGAAGCCAUCAAGAGAACAUGGACAGUUAUACUCCAGUACUAGUGUCCUUGGAAGUCAGAGGCAUCAGAUUCCCCUGGAGCUGGAGUCAUGGGUGAUUAUGAACUACCUCAUGUGUGGAUGCUGGGAACAAAACUCGGGUCCUCUGGAAAGCAGUAUAUGUGCUUAACCACUGAGAGAGCCAUCUCUCAAGCCCUGAGAU